rnacentral:lncRNA from 1 species
AACUUUGAAUGAGGACUCUAAAGAUCUAGAAGAAGAUGGACAGGAUAAGGGAUGAGAGGUCACAGAAAACUAACUCGGAGGAAUACAAAAAACAAUGGCGAAGAAGAGGCCCCUAAGUGGCGGGAAGAAAGAUGAAGGUGCUGGGACCAACCUAGAUCGUUCUGAGGGAUGCAGAGGGGCGAGGACAGGGACGACUUGAAGGGCGCCUAUGGCCCGAGAAGAUGCCAACAGAAACAGGGCUCU